rnacentral:rRNA from 1 species
UGCGCCCUUACGGCAGGCCUAACACAUGCAGUCGAGCGGUAACAGAUCCAGCUUGCUGGAUGCUGACGAGCGGCGGACGGGUGAGUAAUGCAUAGGAAUCUACCCAGUAGAGGGGGAUAACCUGGGGAAACCCAGGCUAAUACCGCAUACGUCCUACGGGAGAAAGGGGGCUUUGGCUCCCGCUAUCGGAUGAGCCUAUGCCGGAUUAGCUGGUUGGUGAGGUAACGGCUCACCAAGGCGACGAUCCGUAGCUGGUCUGAGAGGAUGAUCAGCCACAUCGGGACUGAGACACGGCCCGAACUCCUACGGGAGGCAGCAGUGGGGAAUAUUGGACAAUGGGGGCAACCCUGAUCCAGCCAUGCCGCGUGUGUGAAGAAGGCCCUCGGGUUGUAAAGCACUUUCAGCGAGGAAGAACGCCUGGUGGUUAAUACCCGCCAGGAAAGACAUCACUCGCAGAAGAAGCACCGGCUAACUCCGUGCCAGCAGCCGCGGUAAUACGGAGGGUGCAAGCGUUAAUCGGAAUUACUGGGCGUAAAGCGCGCGUAGGUGGCUUGAUAAGCCGGUUGUGAAAGCCCCGGGCUCAACCUGGGAACGGCAUCCGGAACUAUCAGGCUAGAGUGCAGGAGAGGAAGGUAGAAUUCCCGGUGUAGCGGUGAAAUGCGUAGAGAUCGGGAGGAAUACCAGUGGCGAAGGCGGCCUUCUGGACUGACACUGACACUGAGGUGCGAAAGCGUGGGUAGCAAACAGGAUUAGAUACCCUGGUAGUCCACGCCGUAAACGAUGUCGACCAGCCGUUGGGUGCCUAGCGCACUUUGUGGCGAAGUUAACGCGAUAAGUCGACCGCCCUGGGGAGUACGGCCGCAAGGUUAAAACUCAAAUGAAUUGACGGGGGCCCGCACAAGCGGUGGAGCAUGUGGUUUAAUUCGAUUGCAACGCGAAGAACCUUACCUACCCUUGACAUCCUGCGAACUUUGUUAGAGAUACUUUGGUGCCUUUCGGGAGCGCAGAAACAGGUGCUGCAUGGCUGUCUCCAGCUCGUGUGUU